rnacentral:rRNA from 1 species
CCUANGGGCGGCAGCAGUGGGGAAUUGUUCGCAAUGGGCGCAAGCCUGACGACGCAACGCCGCGUGGAGGAUGAAGGUCUUCGGAUCGUAAACUCCUGUUGAUCGGGACGAAAAGCUUCAACCUAAUACGUUGAAGACUGACGGUACCGGUUGAGGAAGCCACGGCUAACUCUGUGCCAGCAGCCGCGGUAAUACAGAGGUGGCAAGCGUUGUUCGGAAUUACUGGGCGUAAAGGGCGCGUAGGCGGCCUUCUAAGUCGGACGUGAAAGCCCCAGGCUUAACCUGGGAACUGCGUCCGAUACUGGGAGGCUUGGAUUCGGGAGAGGGAUGUGGAAUUCCAGGUGUAGCGGUGAAAUGCGUAGAUAUCUGGAGGAACACCGGUGGCGAAGGCGGCAUCCUGGACCGAGAUCGACGCUGAGGCGCGAAAGCUAGGGGAGCAAACGGGAUUAGAUACCCCANUANUC